GAUGAACGCUGGCGGUGUGCCUAAUACAUGCAAGUCGAGCGAAAGGACGGGAAGAUUGCUUUUUUGAUGUUAGCGGCGGACGGGCGGGUAAGAAGUAGAUAACAAACCUCUUAGACUGGGAUAACUUCGGGGAAAAACGGCUGCUACUGGCUCAUAUUACGUACGGGAUAGUUCAGAGGUUAUAGACGGUCUUGCCGUCACUUAUAGCUGAUUCCGCGCUGCAUUAGCUAGUUGGUAAGGUAACGGCUAACCAAGGCAACGAUGCAUAGCUGGGCUGAGAGGGUGAUCGGCCACACUGGAACUGAGACACGGUCCAGACUCCUACGGGAGGCAGCAGUAGGGAAUCUUGCACAAUGGGCGCAAGCCUGACGCAGCCACGCCGCGUGAGUGAUGAAGGUCUUCGGAUCGUAAAACUCUUUUAUUGGGGAAGAACAGAUGUAGAAUUAACUGUCCCUAUCCUGACGGUACCUAAUCAGAAAGCCACGGCUAACUUCGUG
rnacentral:rRNA from 1 species